rnacentral:rRNA from 1 species
UACGGAGGGUGCAAGCGUUAUCCGGAUUCACUGGGUUUAAAGGGUGCGUAGGCGGAUCGGUAAGUCAGUGGUGAAAGCCCCGAGCUCAACUUGGGAAUUGCCAUUGAUACUGCCAGUCUUGAGUACGGUUGAAGUGGGCGGAAUCGUUGCAUGUAGCGGUGAAAUGCUUAGAUAUGCAACAGAACACCGAUGCUGUAGGCAGCUCACUAAGCCGUAACUGACGCUGAGGCACGAAGCGUGGG